rnacentral:lncRNA from 1 species
UGCAGGCAGUGGUGGUGCACAGAGCCAGGAAGCACUUGUCAGAUCCUGGGCCAGACAUUGGCAGCUUGAUGGCCUGGGCUUUAUAGCAUGAGCGGCAGACCUGCAUGCUGUGUUGUAAGGACAGCGUUUCUCCUGUCCUCUGGCUUCAGUCGUGUUAACCCAGCUAGUGGGGCUCUGCCCUGUCCAGGCUCUGCCCUUCAGCUUGUACUCAGUAACUGCUUUCCUGGGGCGGGGAGCUGUGUUAACAUGAAGUUGGUUAUUGUCCAGGGCGUUUUUCAGAGAGAGUGGCUUCUACAGGACCGAGCAUUGGGUUAUGGGAUAAUGGGACCCAGUGUCCAGAAAGGCCUGUUAAGACCAGGAGUGGAUCAGUGAGCGGGAUGUAAAGUGGAUGAGUAAAAAGAAGCACCUUGGCGUUGAAGUCGUUAGUGUAAGGCAUCCAUGCUUAUCUGAUUCUCUGAAGUUGUUGUUGAUAACUGAGCAGCUGGCACCUCAUUUCUAGAGCGUCCUUUUCUCUUCCAGCCUCUGCAGAAUGUUAGUGCAGUGCUGCAGAAGCCUAACCCUCUCUAUAAUCAGAAUGCAGAUAUGGUCCAGAAGUCGGCCAGCAAAACCCUGCCCUCUACUUGGUCUGACCCCAGUGUCAACAUCAGCCUAGACAACUUACUACCUGGUAUGCAGCCUUCUAAGCCCCAGCAGCCAUCGCUUAACACAAUGAUUCAACAACAGAAUAUGCAACAGCCUCUGAAUGUGAUGACUCAAAGCUUCGGAGCCG